CCCUUAGAUGUUCUGGGCCGCACGCGCGCUACACUGACUGCGGCAACGAGUGUUGACCUUGGCCGGAAGGCCUGGGAAAUCUUGCAAACGCAGUCGUGCUGGGGAUAGAUCAUUGCAAUCUGGAUCUUCAACGAGGAAUUCCUAGUAAGCGUGAGUCAUCAACUCGCGUUGAUUACGUCCCUGCCCUUUGUACACACCGCCCGUCGCUCCUACCGAUUGGAUGGUCCGGUGAAGUCUCGGGAUUGUGGUGCCGCGGUCGGGCAACUGGUUGCGGCAUUGCGAGAACCUGACUGAACCUUAUCGUCUAGAGGAAGGAGAAGUCGUAACA
rnacentral:rRNA from 1 species